UACGGAGGGUGCGAGCGUUGUCCGGAAUCAUUGGGCGUAAAGGGCGCGUAGGUGGCCCGGUCAGUCCGUGGUGAAAGCGCGGGGCUCAACCCUGCGUCGGCCAUGGAUACUGCCGCGGCUGGAGCACUGUAGAGGCAGGCGGAAUUCCGGGUGUAGCGGUGGAAUGCGUAGAGAUCCGGAAGAACACCGGUGGCGAAGGCGGCCUGCUGGGCAGUGGGAGGGACCGUCAAGCCCUUC
rnacentral:rRNA from 1 species